AGCAAAUAAAAGGUAAUCAAAAUCCCGCUCACUCCCAAAAAAAUUUUUGGUUACCCGCUCAUUACUCCAUCUUCUUCUCAUCUCCGUCGUGCGCCUUAAAUCCCCCAAAUAAAAGUUUGUUUUUCUUCAGCUGAAAUCCCCCAAAUUUCCCAUUUCCAACAACAGACUUCAAGGGAGAAAACCAGAAGAUGGGAUGGAAUCACCUAGACAUAUCGCUAGAAGAAAUGAUGAAACUGAUAGAAGGGUUUGUUGAAAUCCUAGUUUUGUCUUCUGGGUAUCAAUCCUCUGGUCUUCCCGCUCACUGGGACUUUGAUAACAUCAAGCGAGAUUGAAAAUGUCAGUAGUCUGUACCCUCUUUGAAAAUGUCUGACAAGAGAUGCUAAGUCGGAUUUUGUUCCAGAUCUUCAGCAGCAGAAAGAUUGUCACGAUGGAAUUGUCGUUAAUGGCGGAAGUGAUGGCCUUUCACUCUCACAUGCCAACAGCAACAAGCUCAUUAUCGAUACCGAUCCCGGGAUUGAUGAUAGCAUGGCGAUCUUUAUGGCAUUUCAAAAUCCAGAAUAUGAGAUCUUAGGUUUGACCACCAUAUUUGGCAAUGUCCAAACCGAAGAUGCCACUCGUAAUGCCUUACUUCUGGAUAUUGUGAAAUCGCAGGGCGUCUUGAUGUUCCUGUAGCACAAAGCAGCCCCGAGCCGCUUACGGAUGGGAGGCCGAUUGUUGCCGACUUUGUUCAUGGCUCUGAUGGACUGGGGAAUAUAUUCCUAUCUCCUCCAAACCUGCUGAUAUGUAGAAGAGACAGCCUUGCAAUAUUGAGAGCAGAGUUAAAGAGUCAAAAUAAGCAUGUGAAAAAUUUGAAGAAAAAAUCUCUUUGGUCUAGAAUUUUGGAAGAGGUCAUGGAGAAGCUUGUAGAUAUCGUUCAUUUCUUGCACUUGGAGAUUCACGAGGCAUUUGGCGCUGCUGGAAUUAGUGGUGCACCUCAAGAUAACAACAUUAUGCUUUGGAAUGCUGUUAUAUUUGGGCAACAAGGUGAAUAAUAUCGAUGAUUAUUACUUUGAUUAUUUAUGGUGCGAAGAUUAUAAGUAUAUCAAGGUGAUCUUUUCUGAUUGUCGUGAAACUUCUGCAUCUCAGCCGAGGGUACAUGAAGAUUGGAUAACCAGGAAUGUAGCAGAUGUAGUUUGCAUUGUAUUUUUUAUUACCAAGAUUUACUUGAUUAAGAAAAUGCAUUGUAUUUUUUAUUACCUUGCAAUGUGUAUAGUCAUAGGCAAGUUCAACUAGUCAGUCUAUUUCUCAUAUGUAUUAUUUAUUUUAGUUUUGAUUCUAAAUUUUUAUUUUUACUUUAAUAUUUACGACAACUUUUCUAA